rnacentral:lncRNA from 1 species
GGGAGUAAGGGGGCUGCUACUGAUGCCCGGUAAGAGGUAGAUGCUGCUUUUCGAGCUUCUGAAUCAGCUGUAGUGCGCUAUGCCAAUUGGGUGUCUGCACUAAGUUCAGCAUCAAUAUGGUGACCUCCCGGAAGCGGGGGAACAGCAGGUUGCCUAAGGAGGGGUGGACCGGCCCAGGUCGGAAAUUGAGCAGGUCAAAACUCCCGUGCUGAUCAGUAGUGGGAUCGUGCCUGUGCUGUCAGCAGAUCUGAGCUUUCUUCUUGGACACCUUAUAC